CAUUUUCAAAAGAGUAAGUUAUUUAAUUCAUAAGCUCUAAUUUGCUGGUUUGUUUUGAUUGUUUGUUUUAUGUGCAUGUUUCUUAAAAUACUCCAUAAAAUGUUUAAGUUUCUUCUACAUGUAUAUUUGGUUGUCAUUUUUAUGCUUGAGUUACAUGUACCUGUAUCUUUCCCAUUUAUGACAGAAUGACAAUGUGCUCGAGGUGAUACUGAGACCCACUUCCUGUGAAAAAACAACACAGCGUGUCCAUCGGGAAGAAUGUGAAAUCCACAAUAAGCCAGUAAGUACUAUCAGAGAAUGAUUGUUGAAGUGCCUGUAGAAGUCAUUGUAGAAAAGCCUGACAAUUUCACACAUUUCUAUGUUUUUUUUUUUCAGCCUCAGGUUUUCUGUAUUCAUUGUAAUGGAGCCAUGAAACCAUGUUUACUUCUUAAACAAAAGGAAUUGAUUGAAAAAACGAGGAAGGAAUGUCUGCAGCAUUUGGCUGGGGGAACACAUCUGUUGUUCCAAAUAGGAGGAAAUGAUGAACAGCAAAUGAACAAUGAACUAACUGGAUGUCUUGGAUGCAUCUGAGAUGUAAAAAGGAUCAAGAACAGGAUUUUUUUAUAUUAAUCAUUUUGAAUUAUUUUAAUUAUAACUAACAUUUCUUUUCUUGCAGGCUUAACAUCCGUAUGCUUCUGAGUACUAAAAGUAAACACUUUAGCCAAAGUUUAUGUGCUGAAAUGUCGAAUGUAAAAAAGGCAGCCAGACGUCUGCCUGAAUAUAAGAAUAACCAUAACAACUCAUGACUUGAGUAACAAGCAAACAUAUGAAGAACCAAUGAUGUUAAACAAAAAUGAUGUAAUGAAUCAUGUCAUCUUUGUCAUGCACAUAUGCAAUAUAACUGUUAUAUACUGUUAUACUGAGGUCCUCCUGGCCGUGAUUAAAGCAUAUCUAAAAGCAUUGUCUGGAGUCUGUCUUGUUUCUGCUGCAGGUAUACAGCAGGUGGUGAAUGAGAAUGAGAUUUAAAUAGAAAUUUGGAUUUGAACAGACAAAUAACAGACCUCUCACAGUAAACUAGUUUCUAGUAAAUGAGAAAAGAUGAAGAAUUCUUUGCUAUUACAUUAAACACCAAAUUAUUUAGAGAUGACUGCUGUUUUCUGCAUUUUGUAAAGAAGAAAUUGUUUGCUCUUUCUCUGCAAAGAAGAAGAACUUGCUUUAUUAAAAUAGAAUGGGGAACUGCUGUUGUCAACCAGACGAGACUUUUGAAAUUAAGGGACCAUUGAAAGAGAAAGUUAAAAAGUGGAAUUUAAAUGAAGAGCUUUUUAAAUGAAGAGAAUUUACAAAGAAUCAAUUUGCAUGUGGUUCUCUGAGUCUCUUCUGGAGCAGCCGCCUUGACAAGAGACAGCGAAUAGACUGGAGUGAGAAAGAAGGAAAAAAUGCUGCAGAGAGAAAGGAAAGUAGCUGAUGGGCCUUCAGCUCCCUCCUGAAAGAAGUUGUUGACACUUCUGAGGAGUCAGAAGUGUCAUAAAUCAUAUGUUAUCUUAUCAAGCACGAGGUCCGAAUUUUCCCGCUCUUGCAGGGUAUAAUUUGGACAUGAUUCCUAUAACAAGAAUAUGAUACAUUUGAUAAAUAACUGGUGGUCAGAAACGUUUCAAGCAAGAAGAUUCGAACACACACAUACUAAACAUGAAUAUGAUCCCUUAAGCUAUUCAAGAGUUAUUUAAAAAAAGACAUACACAAUAAGUGAUUAGAAACAUUAAAGUCAAAUGUGUGGGUUACAGGUAUAAAAUGGAGUUAAGCAAUGGACUGAUAUCCAUUUAGGAGUCUUUUUUGAGUUCAUUUUGGUGCAUAUAUGCAUUGGAAGGCAUUCUCUGUGCCAUUCUGGGGAGAAAGGAUAUGUCCUGUGAAGACCAGAGGGGUUAACAGGUCUCCUUAGGAAUUUCAGUCUGGUUUUGCUAGGUGGGGGGAAGUCAAUCCAACGAUCUUGUUUACUCUCAUGGCUUUACAUGUGAGGGUCAGACUGUCCAUUUCUUCGAUUACUUGCCCCAAAUUAGACAAUCUCUUCUUCGAAUUGAAAUUGUCAAUAAUUGUUCUAAUGGUGUUAAUGUUGAAAGCUGUUCUCUGAAAGAGUUGGUUGGUUAUCAGACUGUGGUGCUGGGAGUUGAUUUACAACAUCCUGCCUUUCUGUGGAAUUCGGCUCAUGUUUCAACCAGGCUCCCGAUCGAAUCUUUAAUUUGUCUGGUUCACGCUACACAGCAUGGAGACAGACUGAUUCAGCGCAGGAAAAGUUGACACUUUCACAUGAGACUUCUCUUAAAGACUAAGAGAACAUCCAGCCAUGAAAAAACUCAGAUCGAUCGAUCGAUCAAAAGUUUAACUGACCGACAAUCCACAAAGAGAUAAAGAUAACUUCUAGAUUCAAUAAAAAUAAUAAUUACAAAUUACA
ensembl:lncRNA